rnacentral:rRNA from 1 species
AUCCUGGCUCAGGAUGAACGCUAGCGGCAGGCUUAACACAUGCAAGUCGAGGGGCAACGCGAGUAGCAAUACUUGGCGGCGACCGGCGCAAGGGUGCGUAACGCGUGAGCAACAUGCCCGUAUCAGGGGGAUAAUCCAGGGAAACUUGGUCUAAUACCCCAUAGUAAUUUUUGUAAGGCAUCUUAUAAGAUUUAAAGCUUUGGUGGAUACGGAUUGGCUCGCGUGACAUUAGCUGGAUGGUAAGGUAACGGCUUACCAUGGCUAUGAUGUCUAGGGGUUCUGAGAGGAAGGUCCCCCCACACUGGAACUGAGACACGGUCCAGACUCCUACGGGAGGCAGCAGUGAGGAAUAUUGGACAAUGGAUGGAAUCUGAUCCAGCCAUGCCGCGUGAAGGAAGAAAGGUCCUAUGGAUUGUAAACUUCUUUUGUAUGGGAGCAAUAAGGCCUACGAGUAGGUUGAUGAGAGUACCAUACGAAUAAGCACCGGCUAACUCCGUGCCAGCAGCUGC